rnacentral:rRNA from 1 species
GAUGAACGCUGGCGGCGUGCCUAAUACAUGCAAGUCGAGCGAACGGACGAGAAGCUUGCUUCUCUGAUGUUAGCGGCGGACGGGUGAGUAACACGUGGAUAACCUACCUAUAAGACUGGGAUAACUUCGGGAAACCGGAGCUAAUACCGGAUAAUAUUUUGAACCGCAUGGUUCAAAAGUGAAAGACGGUCUUGCUGUCACUUAUAGAUGGAUCCGCGCUGCAUUAGCUAGUUGGUAAGGUAACGGCUUACCAAGGCAACGAUGCAUAGCCGACCUGAGAGGGUGAUCGGCCACACUGGAACUGAGACACGGUCCAGACUCCUACGGGAGGCAGCAGUAGGGAAUAUUCCACAAUGGGCGAAAGCAUGACGGAGCAACGCCGCGUGAGUGAUGAAGGUCUUCGGAUCGUAAAACUCUGUUAUUAGAGAAGAACAUAUGUGUAAGUAACUGUGCACAUCUUGACGGUACCUAAUCAGAAAGCCACGGCUAACUACGUG